GCAAUGACUGGAGCUGUCAAUCUACAACUCAGAUGAAUUAAUUCUAUUUUAGUGGGAAAAAAUGUUCCCAAACAUUCAGGGCUAGGCUGGCAAAAUUAAGCAAAAGCAGGAGAAGUGGGGAGAGGGGAAAAUGGCCAAAAAUCCUCAUGUCUUCUUCAAUCUUCAUCUCACACCUCUAGGGAACAUCUGCAGUCCCAGCCCUGUCUGAGCCUUUUGCAGCCACCAGAACAAGCAUUUGGAUGAUGUGACAAGGCACCAGCAGGUCAGGAGCAGCAAAGCAGAUGUGUUCCUGUGCAGAUUAACUCCUGAGCAAUACUUGAGAUUUUUUUCCCCUAGAUGGGGCUGUCAAACACACUGCUCACCACACAGGAGGUAAAGAGAGAGAGCAGCCUUCUUUUCUACAGGAAGCACUUCAUGGACUGCCCUUUGUGAGCACUGUGUUAUGGUUUGUUUUGCUGUGCCAGAAGAGACAUGCAGAGUGCACGUGUGCAUGGCAUGACAACACAAGUUCACUUCCAUUUCCACUGCUGAAGAAAGAGAAGACUGACUGAAGGUGAAUCCCUGCUCUGAUUGUUCUUGUUGUUCAUGGCUCAGAUGGAAAAGCAAUCAGACAAGGUCAUUUGAGACACUGUCAUUGGAAAAUGGGUUUGUAGAGGCAGUAACAGCUGUCUGUCUCCUAAGGAAACCACAGCCACUGCUGAAAGGAUAAAGCCCAUCUUCCCCCCAUAUCCUUCCAUCCUGCAUCCACAGCUCCAUGGCAGCCAAACCUCUGCUCUGUACAGGGCUAUCAGACCAGACUCAGAGUGCUCUGCAUGCAGUCAAGUGACAGAGAUAAGGCCAAUGAUUCUGGAGCAGAUGUCUUCUGGCUCUCUGGCUCCCAUCCUUGUUUGUUUGUUGCCAUGACCCAUAAUUUAUUUCCACUCCACUAAAUGACUGGCCAGGUGCCUCAUGACAUUAAACCCCAAGGAGGAACAUGGUGUUUUCUUCCAGUGAAGAAACCUGAACUUCUGUGUUCCCUCCCUGACCCAUUACCAGAUACAGCAGUCAAGGCAAGAAAAACAGGAGCAAAAACCAAAGCAGACAACAACCUUAUGUUUCUGCUGUAGACUGAUCACUUUCUGUGCAAGUAAAUCAUGAUUUGUAUUUUUUUUAAAAAAAGAAAAGCUUCCAUUUAACAUCCAGUACAAGAUUCAUGAACAACAAUUAAACCCUAAAAGUGAUUACUUCCUG
rnacentral:lncRNA from 1 species